CAGCCGCCGCGGUAAUACGGAGGGGGCUAGCGUUGUUCGGAAUUACUGGGCGUAAAGCGCACGUAGGCGGCUUCGUAAGUUAGAGGUGAAAGCCCGGAGCUCAACUCCGGAAUUGCCUUUAAGACUGCAGAGCUAGCAGGUGAGAGAGGUGAGUGGAAUUCCGAGUGUAGAGGUGAAGUUCGUAGAUAUUGGGAAGAACACCAGUGGCGAAGGCGGCUCACUGGACCGACACUGACGCUGAGGCGCGAAAGCGUGGGGAGCAAACAGGAUUAGAUACCCCCGUAGUCCCUGUCUCUUAUAA
rnacentral:rRNA from 1 species